UUGAGAGAUUCACCCUUUGUCCUGAUUCAAACUGGUAAUUUUGGAGAGGAUUUGAUUCAUCAGAGACAAAGCAUAAACAACUCCAUUUGAUCCAUCUUUCUGCAAACCCCAACUUCUUGAUAGUUUUCUCAACAAAGGUCCACUAUAAACCCACUCCGCUCAGUCUUCGCUCUAGGCUCUAGACCUUUGAAAAUCCCCUCCUCACUCUCAUCCUCAAGAGGAGAAAAGGUUAGAGAAGUACUUGCAAGCCAUAAAAAUCCCAUCUGUUGGUUGAUCUUCU